rnacentral:lncRNA from 1 species
CUCUCUCUCUCUCUCUCUCUGAGUGGUGUGUUCCGCGAUCCGGAACUGAAGAGCUCGCCGCGCUUGAUUCUGUCGCGUGACGUUUUCUGAUUCGGGAGCAGUCCGUCGUGGUUCUCGCGUUGGAGAGUUGUUCAAGUGACGAGCAAUUCGAGCGGAGGUGAGACUGCUCGUGGCCUCUGCUUUCCGGAAUUUGUGCGUUCGGAGCGUGUCGCGUGCCUGAUCCUCUUGGAUAAUUCGCGUGAUUAGUUAGUACCGAGCGUCAAAUCGCCAAUCUCUGAUGGGAGAUGAAAACUAUUAGUGCGGGAAUUCGUGAGAGUUCGAAGAGCAGUGAAGGUUUGUGAUGUGGAGUUCGAUGUGGAUCUGGAUGUCCGGACGUCGUGACGAUACGAGCUGUUUGUUAGUUCUCUUCGUGUUAAUUACGAUGGUUGUCCUUCGUGUCGCUUUCGAGUACUUGAAUUUGAUCGCUUCCAUAAAGGUCGAAUUAUGUGCCAGUUCUUUUCCUUGUGACUAUGUUCGAGUGAAAAUAGGAAACGCUUUACCUACGAAACUUUUUCGACCUGUGUUGUGUGGCGAUGGUUUCAUUGAAAUGAUCACUGGUUCAGGCUUCUUCACCUGCAGUUUGCCUGAAGAAGUCCUUCUUACUAUCUCCGUGCACGCUGCCGUUGCCAUCUUGUACUUACAGGUCCAGUUUCUUUUGUGAGGCACUACUCAUACAAGGACAUAAAGAAGGCAACGGGCAGUUUUUGCAGGAUCAUCUAUAGCGAUGCUCAUGGGGCGGCUUACAGAGCCAACUUCGAUGAUGCUGGGCUUGCUUUGGUUAAGGAGGUUAAGGAAUUUGAUCAGAGUAAUGAGGUCUUCUACAGAGAAGUGCAGCUCUUAGGCCGUUUGCAUCACCGCCACCUCCUUGCACUUAGAGGGUUCUGUAUGGGGCAAAAGAGGUAUGACCCUCAUCAUUCAGGCGAAUUUUGAAAACCUUUGCAAUGUAUUUCAUUACAAGAUUUUGUCUUUGAAUGUGGGCAACUGCUUUUUUUAAAUUUCUCUCCUGUUGGUCAUCUUGCUUGUUCAUCCAAUGUACCUUAAUUGAGCAAGUAUCCCUUCUCCUGUGAUUUGGAGGAAAACAAUAACUAUUCUACAUAGUGGUUUAUCUUCUACUUAAUGAGAAAUUGAACCCUCUCUGUUUAGCUGGAAUUCUCACGAUUGGAUGACAAAUGGUUCUACACCUUGCAGUUUGUUAGUGUUUGACAAUGUCGAGAAUGGAAGCUUGAAGGAUCAUCUCAAUGGUAAUUGUCAGUUAAAACAUUUUCUAUGUAUUGGCUUGAUAAAAUUUGGUCUAAAGAGGGGUGCUCUUAGCAGAUCCUCUUAGGACUCCUUUGAAUUGGAGAACGAGAUUACAGAUAGCCAAUGGUGUAGCUGCUGCAUUGGUAAGUCAAGGAACUAUUGUAACUUUUAACUUUAAUUUUCAUUUCUUAUGUGGGAACAGAGACAAAUCAAAUUGGGAGGCUUUCCUAAAAUAUGAAACUGCUCAAUUAGUGUACCCUGCAAUCUGGAACGGUCUAUGGUAGACAUGAUCAAAAACCUUACAUGAAUCUCGCUGGAGAGCUAGUUACUAGAUGACCCGAGACAUCGACCAUAUGUUUAGAACUUGUCCUUGGUAAAAGUAUCGUAAUCCUGGAUGAUCGCGAAAACAUGAAUGGACAUAUUGACAUUAUCAAGCUUUUGGUCUGCAUGUUUUUAUCUGUUGAAUCAAAUGACUUACAAGUCUUAGCACUACAAGAUGUAUUAGGCCAAUCCCUGUCAUGCUGAAUUUGCUGGGAGGAAACUAGCUCCAUCUUAUGCGUACACAAGAUAGUAGUUUGUUUUUUCACGGAAAGUCUGAUUUCAAGUUGACAGAGGCUCAAUCUGUCUGCAGGAAUAUUUGCUCCUAUUUAAUGAUCCCCCAGUAUAUCAUGUAUCUGUCAACUCAAGCAAUGUCAUGUUGGAUGAGAACUUCAUUGCCAAGGUAGGGAAUUUGUUUCAUUUCUUUCAUAUCCAGCAUCUUCUUUGCCUUUUCUGAAUCAGACUAGAGUUAAUCUCAAUUCACAAGUUUUUGGAAUUCAAUCAAAUUGAUACACUGUUGCCAUGUAGUCAAAAGCAAAAAUGACAUUUUCCUUGAUUAUCUCAGCUAUCAGACGUUGGUUUUCUUGGUUAUUCUGGGAAUCACACAGGAACUACUCAUCCAAAAGGUGAUCUGUCGUCACCACACAUGUUGUCUUUGCAAUGAUAUGAAUGUGCAUCCUAUUCCCUUCGAUUAAUAUUUUUCAAAAAUCCCUCAUUCUCGUUGCAGAUUGUAUUGAGGCAGAAUCCAGAAACAUCAUUUUCCAGCUUGGCAUGCUGAUGCUGGAGCUCAUCACUGGGCAAUCAUCAGAAGGGGGAGGCGCCAAUCUGAUCCAGUGGGUUCAAGAAUAUCAUUUGGGUAGCUCCAUUUAUAAGCUGAUAGACCCAGAUCUUGGAAAUGACUAUGAUUCGAGGGAGCUAAGAAAUCUCCUGGAGGUAGCGAGACUAUGUAUCAAAUCGAGGGACAAACCGGUGCUGUCGGCUGCUAGACUGUUUCGGUAUCUCCAGAAGAAGAUAGAUAAUCCAGUCAGUUAGUCCUUGAAGCCAUUCGUUUAUACUAUUUUAUUGGCUGUGUAAAUUCAUGCCUAUAAUCUCUAUAGCUGUAUCUUCCCUUCUUUCGUUUUUCCCCUUUAAUUUCUUUUCAUUUGAGAAUCAGAUGAUGAUAAAACACAUGCGAGGGCAUAGUGCUGGGUAUCUUAUGUCACGCAGGUUAUAGCAGAUAAUGAAAUGCUCUAGCACUUGAAUAAGUGCCUUUGAAACGCCAAAACCCAAGGUGUCCCUCUGAAGCAUCUACCCUGCUCUUCACUAUCAAAUGCGACUUGCAAUUCACCGGUUCUAUAAUGUGAAAACACAAUGGAAUCGUUCACUUUUACGGCACCGAAAGAAGGAUUUUUUAUGACUAUUUCUUUUUGUAGCUCAAUCGAUUCUGUAGAUCCUAUACCCAGUUAAAUUUAUCCAUUAAGAAACGUACGUUUUUUUUAUAUAUUUUAUUAUCUUUUUGGGGAUGACGGAUGAAAUUGCUUAUUUAGACAAAGGAGAGCAUCCGAUGCUUAGGAAGGAAUCUUAAUCAUACAACAUGCAAUUGACUAGUUUUGUUGUUUUGUUGCAUGUCCACCCGACAGCAAGUCGACGUCGCCGACGCUACUUACCCAUUUCUCAUCAGCGGUUUCUUUUGUCCUUUGUCCUCGCUCGUUCUUUAAUUCCAUCACCUCCACCUUCUCACAUAAUCCCCAGAGAGAGACACGCACACCGAUAUCGCCUUGAAAAUUGAAUUUUACUUUUCCUUGGUUCGAUAAACCUUUCCCCAGAGAGUGAGAGAAAGAGAGAGAGAGAUUCCUUCGCCUCGUAAUCGAUUGGGCAGAUGGAGGACGAAGAAGGGUAUCGGCGAUGCGCUCUUGUGCUCGUUGCUGGCAAUCGUCGGCUUUGAUUCUGGAGAAUUGAGCUCUGUGAGCUCUCUGUGCUUGAUGAUGUCUUUAUUUUCUUUCAGCACUCGUUCUCCGUGUGGCAUUUGUGUUGAGUUGUUAGGAUUCAGCUUGCUUCAUUUACAUUCUUUCCUUUUGUGGGAUAUAUAAACCUAGCAGGGAGAGCGAGCGGGAGUAUGUUGUUUCGGUUGCGGCUGAUGAAUGCUGGCUUUUUUUUUAUUUUUUUUGGGUCUACUUGCAUGUGGUGGGCUAGCUGCUUCUUGAUGGCUUUGUAUUAACCUCGUUUUGAUCAUGGAGUGGAAAUUUCUCCUCGUGCCGAUCCAGUCCUUGUGGUCUUAUGUAUAUGUGUGAGGACUGUGAGGACGGUGGUUGUGCAGCAGCCUGUGCAGCAUUGCAUUUGCUGCAUUGCAGUUCAUGAUCGAUUUGUCGAUCCCUAUUGUUUGUGCAUUGUAAUUGAUUGUUUUGAUGGCUCUGACAGUUCUGCGGUGAGUGUUGAUAUCAUAGCGCAUGCUGUUCGUGUCCUCCUCUGCAGCUAUUUUCUUAGCAUUACUUGGAUCGAGCAAUUGGACGUGUGCUCUGUAGUUUAUGCAGAUGCAGCCUAUCGGCUAUUUUCAUUGGAUGAGGACCAGUUUAUUUUUUUGCUUGUGGUAGAGCUAGAUGAGAUUGGACACUGUUGAGAUGACAUUCGAUCUGCAAAGCCAUCCUGAUUUUUCUAUGCUUCUGCUUCAGGUCAGGAGUAGAUGUUCCGACAAUGAGAGGCUGUUGAUUGCAAUACUGAAGUUGCUGUAAUUUAACUUCCAGGAAAGGACGGUUGAUUUGCCUUAAGAGGUAAUGCCAGCUUGGACUUGUAAAACAAUUUACCAACUUGUAAAAGUCGGCUCAUGAUCGCUGUGAAAUGUUCAUGGCCUGAAAUUGGUAGCAAUUUGUGUGUAGUUCAAGAAAUAACAACUUUCUUUUGGAUUUUUUUUUUUUAAUUCCUUCCGCCCUUUCUUUCUACUAUGAGGUGCAAAAACGUGGUAGCAAUGGUCACAACCAUCUUUUACUGGCAGGUUCUAUUGAUUGACACGAUCCAACAGGCAGAAUGGGCGUCUCUGGGAAAUGGAUCAAAGCCUUAGUUGGUUUGAAAAAAUCACAAAAAUCACCUUCAAAUAAGGAUGAAGAGGUGGGUAUAAGGCUGGGUUCGUGCUACCCUACUGUUGAAGUUUGUAUGUGCAUCAUUGCGAGCAUGGUGGGCUAGGGGCUCCUGACUAAGCCAAUUUGAUGCGAAACAGUCUCAUUAUGGGGGAAUGAGCGAAGUAUGGGUAGUACCUUGUAACGCCCUUCAACAGAGCCACAAAAUGAAAUGUAGAGCUUUUCCUGGAGGGACUCCUCUUUCACUGAAUUUUAUGUAGGAUGAGUGGUGCCCUGCGAAGUCAAUAAGUUAUCCACCUUUGUCAAAGUGGAAAGGUCUGAAUACUGAGAAGAUACUGUUCAAGUUGGCAAAAUAUGAAGUAAACCUCUGGACGAGUAUUGCCUAAAGACAGACUAUGACUGCAUGAUAUUCACAUGCUAAACAAUAAUCUCUUCUUUUCUUUGAAGUCAUGUUGUCCUAGCUCAAAUAUCACUCCUUUUAUGAUCUUUGUAGGGUUUUUGAAAUUCAGCCUCUUAAUAACUACAGCAUGAUUUUGUACCCUUUACAGAAGGUGAAUGGUAGCCAAUCACAUUCCAAGUCUCUGUGCUCUGCUAACUGUUCAGUUGGUACGGAGACCGAAAACAUCCAUGACCAGCUUAAUUGCAAUUAUGCUUCUCAUGUUGGGGAUGCAAAUGAACAUUUCAUCCCUGAUCCUGCUUGUAGUCUUUCCACCUGCUUUGAUGUACAGAAAACUGAUCAUCACCAGCAAAUUUUAAGAGAAGAGUUGGCUGCAACGCGCAUCCAAACAGCUUUCCGGGGUUUCCUGGUAUUGAUUUUUGCAGCCAAUUCGAUCUACAUAUGAUCUUCAGUCUUUAUUGACCUGAUGAGAGUCUCUUGAAUAGAAGAUUUUAGUAAUUCCCAAGAUGUUUGACGGCAUGCUCGGUCAGGUCAAAAGAAGUCACUUUAGGAAGUUAGUGAAGCUCCUUUGUUCUGCUCACUUAUUUUAUCAAUUUCAUUUUCCCACUUGUCAUAUAUUUAAUUGACAGCCAAGGAAUAGUAUGGAAAUGUCAAGGCAUUUCAAGUGAAUGAAAGUUCAUGUGGAAUGAUCAUGGCAAACAGUGAAUUGUGCUGGAUAAGUAUUUCAUGGGUUCAACAUAUUAAUGAAAUGGUCAUCAUGACAUGACAAUUUCUUCACCAGUAACUGUAUUCAGUAUCUGAUUUAAAAUUCUUGAGGGCAUUUCUCUUACAAUCUUUUGAAACAGCAUAAAAUGGUAUCAUGAUAUCUGACAGAGCAUAUGAAGGUACCUCUACUUACAAAUAUCUCUUUUUCCAUAAGGUUUUUCUUUAUGAUCACCAGCUGCUACUGCAGAGUAUCCUAGUCAGUCACAUCAUUCUCUUUCCACGAAACUUAACGACAAGCCAAUUUAAUCGAUCAGGAUGUCAAUGGGAACUUGUAAAAAUGGCUGUCAAAUAGAUGUUUUACCAAGAGCUUUUAAUGAACUGAAAGUAUUGGCAGAGCUAUGGUUGUAUCUCACUCAACUUAGUCUCAUUGGUCAGUUUCAUGGCUUCUGCACCAGGCAAGAAGAGCUUUAAGUGCUUUGAAAGGGUUGGUGAGGCUUCAGGCCCUUAUCAGAGGUCAUUCUGUGAGAAAGCAAGCUGCAAUGACACUGCGUUGCAUGCAAGCUUUAGUAAGAGUUCAAGCCCAUGUACGGGCAAGGCGGGUGCGACUAGCAUUGGAAAGUCAAACAGCAGAACAGAAAUUUAAGCAACAAACUGCAAAGGAGGCUCAAGUUCGGCAGAUUGAAGUAUGCUGCUUUUAUUGCAAUUCUCAUAUUGAAGGGUCUGCAUUUUCUUCCACCUCAUUCAUCAUAGACGAGGAACUUUCGUUUUUUUUUUAUGUAUAUCAAUGAUACAAUAUAUUACCAGUUGAAUGUCAGCUGUACAAAGCUGCAUCUUCAAGGUCUAGUACUUGUGUUAAUCCAUUUAGAAAUUAUAAUGAUUACAGAACAUCAUGCUUAACCACAGAGGGACCACAUAUGCAGCAAAGGAAAUCAUUCAAGUAUCGUGAUUUCUUAAAUUAGUUUGAUGCACCUACCACAGUAACUGAUGGGAGAUAACAACUUAUCAGAUUUUCUUUAGAUGGUUCCGAUUAUUUCACUUUAUUUGCUGUCUUAAGGAGGCAGUCACACUCUCCACAUGUUGAAUGGAUGCCACUGGAUGUAGGUCCUGGACAGCAUCAAUAGUGGUUGAAACCGUUUGGGAGGGAUGAAAUUUUAGAACUUCUACUUAAUGACUUUCCCUCCUAGCAAUGAAAAUGAAAAACAUAAUAUAUAAAAAUCAUGAAAUGUUUAAGGCGCUUCGUGUUAAUUUUAUUUCCUCAUCUUCACUGGCGGUGCUAUCUUUUUUGAGAACACGGUGCCUCUAAUUAUGGUCUCAGUGUUAAAUUGUUAAAUGAUGAACAAAAUUCUGCCACAUGAUGGUCUCAGUGUUAAAUUGUUAAAUGAUGAACAAAAUCUGCCACAUGAACAUAGGAAUAACUAUUUACAUGGUCAUGUGCUAGUUUUAAUGAGUGUUUUCGUUUCUCACAUUUUAGCAGGAAGGUUGGUGUGACCACAUAGGAUCUGCAGAAGAAAUUCAAGCCAAGUUAGUGAAGAGGCAGGAAGCUGCAGCUAAGCGUGAAAGAGCCAUGGCUUAUUCCUUAGCUCAUCAGGUAAGCUAUAUUUGAUAUUACCAUGGAUAUGUCUGUGAACUAUGCUUUUCCUCCAUCUUCUAGGGUGAUGUCAGAUUUUAAACUCAGUUUGACUAGAGCAUAUCAGAUUUUAAACUCCGUCUUAGGCUUGCCAAUUUAAGUGUGUGGACUCAACAGAAAGGUAAAUUUGAGAUGGAAUAAUUAACCUAAGAGCCCAAUUAAAUUCAAUACCUUACAGUUCAGCCUUCAACUAAAAUGGAUGUGUUCUUCGUAGUUUAUAGUAGUUUCAACUUUCAAUGCAAAAAUUUGCAGUAUCGAUUAGUCUCCACAUGAAUGUGGUACAGGAUGCAUCUUCUCUGGUUAGCUUAAUAUUUGCAUCAUCAAACAAUGAAGUGCACCAGGAUUGUGUAUGCCUUAAAAUGUAUGCUCGCAUCACUAAGUUGCACACUAUAUGUGAAAUGAACAAAAUUAACUUUGUCUUACAAGGUGCAUGAAUACAUAAUUACCCAUUUUCUUACUGACAAUUUACUGUAAACUAAGCAGAUUCUAUAAUAUGUGCUUAGGGAAGUGGACUUUAUGCACGAUUGCCAUCUUUUCUCGACUAUGCCGUGUCAUUUUUUGCAUGGUUAGAGCCUGAGACCAUUACUGCAAUCAAAAUACAAUCACAAUCUAGCACUGAGUUUCAUGAGCCUAAAACUCUCUUAUAGUACUAUGCAGUGGCAAUUACAAUCUCCUUGAUUUUACUUCAUAGUGGCCUUUUUUUUUUCUUCAUGCAGUGGCAAGCAGGAUCAAAACAACUGGCAGCACCUACAGGGUUUGAACCUGACAAAAGCAGCUGGGGAUGGACCUGGUUGGAGAGAUGGAUGGCAGUUCGUCCAUGGGAGAACCGAUUUCUCGACAUUAAUAUCGGUGAUGGAAUGACAAUUCAAGAAAGUGGCUCGGCACAGAGUGCGGAUGACACUAGAGCCCAGUCGAAGUCUGCCAGCAAGAAACCGGGUUCAACAAAUCUUUGCAAUCAGAAAAGAGGGUCUUCUCAGACUAAUGUUGUUGGCUCUUCAUCUAGUAAAUCAUUGAAUAAGAUGCCCUCUGAUCAGGCAGUCCCUUCCAAGCCAGAGUCAAAGCUUGUCAAUGAUGGAAUUCAAUUGGCCCAAGCCAGGCUUGGUCGUAGUUCCAGAUCGCAAAGUAAUCCUAAAGAGAGAUCAGUGCCAUCUGAUAAACAGGCAAAGAAGCGAUUCUCUCUGCCUAAUUCUGGUAAACUCCCUUUCUCCCUCUGUCUCUAUCACAGAUCCGCACACAGACAUGUUCAUGCGAAUAGAGGGAUGUAUGAAUUGCACUGAACAACCGCCGCGGUUGUUAAAAAAAUUCCGCUUAUAAACGUCAGGCUUGCAGCGCACAUCCUCUACUUUUAACGCUGUGUUCGCAUGUCUAAUAUGCCCGGUAGCCGGUCUUGCUUAUAAACUCGUAUUCCUGUUAUCACAGAACAUCAUCGGGAAUUAAGCUCAUCUGAAGUUUAACUUGAUUUUAUCAGGAUCGACCGUCGGGGCACCAACUGCUAAAAACCCCAGCAGAACUGCUGCAUCGAGAAAAUUGGAUCCGCCGGCAAGACGUGUUUCCGAGGCGAACUGAUUAGUAACCCUCUCGAAUUAUGAAGAACAAAAGGUCCAACCUCAUUCCACUUUGAGGCUUUGCACGUAACGCCCGAAUUGCAACAGACGCAAGCAAUUGCUUUCAAGCACGCACACCUUCCUCUCCCGUGACUUGUCAAGGCUUUUUUUUUUCCCAAAAGUGGCAGAGCAGAAGAGAUUGCUUCGGCUCCUCGGCGUCCGCAGCUCUAGCUCUAGUACCGUCAUGAAUGCAUCUCGUCUUUUUCCUUUUCCAGUUUCGGUUUUUAGUCGCCCGUGUACUCGUUGAGAUGUGGUCGCUGUUUUCGGAUCUAUUUGGUUGCUGAAGGGAUCGAAAUUUCCUAGAGUCGUGACUUUUGGGUCCGUCCAAUUCCUAACGCUCCCCCUCCUCUCUAUCCUGGAAAAAAGAGAGAAAAAAACGACUCGAUGCGCGUUCCUCCGUCGCGGUCGAUGAUGGGGGUCGGGCUUCGAUCGUGCGCUCGUCCAUGAUCACGACGACCUUAUCUUCGGAUUCCUUUCGCGGGCUACGUGCUACCUAUCAAGAUCCCCCCCGCUCUGACGCAGCGGCCAAGCGGUGAGGGGCAGCGCAACAGGACAGCCACUUGACCCCCUUUUCACGCACGCGGGGUGUCCUCCCAGAUCUGUCCGAUCUGUCCGAUCUGUCAGUAAGCGGAGACAAUUUCUUCUCACCCCCUACCCCGACCAAAAUUAAUGCGGUCAAAUUUCACAGUUACGUAAUCACGAAUUUAUCCCGAAAAUCUAUCCUCGUGAUCAUGAGGAGAUUAGAAAAUCCAGCCUUUGCGAUUCCUUUUUUUAAGCAAAUUGCAUUACGAUCUUUUUUACAGAGAGAGUGGAGGAGGAGGAGGGGGAGAAUUCUGAGCAGUAUAAAGCAAAGAAAUUAGAAAGAAGAGUCCAAGAAAAGAAAGAAAAAGAACGGAAUCGCCCCUCCCGUCACGCCGUCAGAGAGAGAGAGAGAGAGAGAGAGAGAGAAGAAGAAGGGGCCUCCAUACCCACCCCUCAACCCCUCAACCUCCAUCGCCAUCACUCCCCUCCUCCCUGCCUUCCCUCCAUCUUCCUCCAUCUCCAUCAUCUCCAUCUUCGCCACCAAAACCUCUCUCUCUUUCUAUCUCUAUACCCUAUGCCCUCCCACCUCCAAAUCCAAACCCAAACCCAAACCCAAACCCUAACCCCCACCGAUCUUGGAUCUCCUUCUGCAAUUUCUCUCCAUCGUCGCCGUCGCCGUCGCCGUCGCCGUCGUCGUCAUCAUCAUCUGCAUCUUGUUCGGCAUUGAUCGGGAUCUUCUAAAUGUACAGAUNNNN